rnacentral:miRNA from 1 species
UGGAAGACUGUCGAUUUCGUUGU